AGCCAUUCCCCGCACCCUUCCAUCCCUACGUUUCCCCGCCCCAGGCCACUCGCGCCAGCACGUAUAGCCCGCCUCACCUAACCCAGUAGUGUGUGUUGCGCGGGAGCUGAAGGCUACAGAAUAUUGCCACAUUUCAGGAUCAACGUCAAAUAUUUCAAAGAAUCUGAAGAUCUGUCAACUGGGCCUCGACCGUAGCUUCCAAAGCCCACCAGUAUUCACCUGCACAUCUUCCAACCUGGUGUCCGUGGGACCAAGCGCAGACUCGGAGGCCGUUUUGUAAAGCACCUGCGCUCUGUUCGCGACAGACGACAACACCUUCCAGUCGCGAACCAUUUUAACUCCCUCUCCCACUCCCUGGGUGACGUGUCCAUACUGGGCUUUCUCCAGUCUCACAAUGAUGCCACAUGUAAACUUUGUGCAACACUUCGUAUUCGAUUUAGGGAACCUUAACGUAGAAUUCAGCAGUUUCAAAAUCUACCCGCAACCUGCCCCCUCACCAUCACUUCCUUGAUGUGACACAACCCGUCCAUCUUCUUUCUCACCUAUCCACUCCACCAUUCACACUGACCAAUCCCCACUACCCCUACCUGCAUCUGCCUAUUGUCAUCGCAUCUAUCUUCCCCCGCCCCACCCCUCUUCCCUCUAUUUAUUUUCCAGCUCCCUACCCCCUCUGCUGCCCAGAUCAAGAUUCAGACCCAAAACGUCAAUUCUCCUACUCCUGUCAUGCUGCCUCAGCGGCUGUGUUUCUCCAGCUCCACACUAUCAACAGAUCCUCCGUAUUCCUCUUUAAACUCAAUUUGCUAAGUUUUGGCCCACUCACUGAAUUUAUCUCUCUCCCCUUGCAGCUUCUGUAUGUCUUUAUUACAACAUCCCUUCCAUAUAUUUCUGUCUCAUCAGUGGAUUUGGAUAAACUGGAUGCCCAGGCCUCCAACUUAUUAAUAUAGGUCAUAAAUAAUUAAAGCCCUAAAGCUUGAUGCUGUGGCACACCACUAGUAAUUUUUUUCAAAACCUGAAAAAGACCCAUUCAUCCCAACUCUUUGUGUCGACCAUUAAGCCCAACCCUACAAGGUGUUAACCAAUCCUCACUUCAUUUUAAAAGUGAAUAAACUGUGAGCGCCUAACUUGUGCAAUAACUUUGUAAGAGGCACUUUAUUGAAUAUCUCUAUAAACCCAAAUACACUACUUCUACCAGUUUCCUUUAUCGACUCUGCUUGUUAUACCUUCAAAGAGCUCAAGUGAGAUUUGUCAAAAAUGUAUUUUUCAAAACAUUUUUCACAAAAUCUUUCUCAAAAUUACCUUAUUUAUUUGAUUGUGUCACACUUUUCUAAAAGUACUGCUAUUUCUUCCUUAAUAAUGGACUCUAGCAUUUUUGCAAUGACAGAUGUUAGGCUAACUGGUCGAUAAUUUCUCUCUUUCAGUCUCCCGUCACCUACUUUAAAACACCUAGAUGCAGACCAUUUGGUCUUGGUGACUUAUCUGUGUUCAGUCAUGAAUUUGUCAGAUGCUUUGUCCCAGUAUUAGAGGAUGUUACAAAACCUUUGAUUAGACCCUUGCAUAUGUGCUAAGAUUGGGAUAUUUAUAAAAUUCUUAGGCAUGAAGACCAAGACAAAAUUUUGGUUUAAAUUAUCUGCCUUUUGAACAGUUCCCAUUAUCAAUUCCCUAGUUUCAUUCUUCAAGGCUACCACACUCCCUUUAGUUUCUCUCUUUCUUCUUAUAUACCCACAGAAGGUCUUGCUCUUUGCUUUUGCAUUUCUUGUCAAUUUACUUCCAUAAGCAAUCUUCUCCCUUUUACUGGCUUGUUAUGUCAUCCACUGCUGUUUCCUAAAACAAAAUCCCAAUCCUCUUGCCUAUGACUAGUUUUAGCCACUUGGUAUAUGUUCAUUUUCAAGUGGAUAGUAUGAUUCAUUGCCUUUGUUAACCACAGGUCUGCUCCAGACCAUGCUUAACUCCUCGAUAAUUGCCCUUAUUUAAGUUGAGGGCACUGGUUUGUGAAAGCUGCUGGAUAGAGUUUUGGAAGUUGUUUAUAUCCAGUUAUCAACUUAUUGAAAGUUCUGAGAACAGAACCCUAGCUUGCAACACAUCAGUAAAACUCUCCGGCAUUCUGCAGAAACUGUUUGCCUUGACCAGUGAUUUCGGAAUUCAAGCAGGAUAUACAGUCCCAUGUGCCUGUGAACAACUCAUUAUCUGAGGAUUGAAUGAAGAUUUAGCAACUGCCAUUCAAAAGUGAUCUGGCCAGUUCCAGCUCUUUUUUUAUUUCUUUUAAUUUAUCACAUAACUAUGUCUGUCUAUGAGUGUGAGUGGGGCCUAUGAUCAAAUAGAUCGGGUUUAAAACACCAACAUUAAUUAGCUUACCUCAUUGCUUAGUUUUGCUAUGGGAAAGUUACAAU